CGCGUAGGCGGUCUUGUCGGUCAGAUGUGAAAGCCCAGGGCUCAACCUUGGACGUGCACUUGAAACAGCAAGACUUGAGUACGGGAGAGGAAAGCGGAAUUCCUGGUGUAGAGGUGAAAUUCGUAGAUAUCAGGAGAAACACCGAUGGCGAAGGCAGCUUUCUGGACCGAUACUGACGCUGAGGCGCGAAGGCGUGGGUAGCGAACAGGAUUAGAUACCCUGGUAGUCC
rnacentral:rRNA from 1 species